CACCCAAACAUCAGAUGAACAUACAAACAAAAAAAGGAAUCCAAGCCCGUAUAGAUGGAGUCAUGUUUGAAAAAUUAGGAGGAGCCGCUUACACCAAUCCCUUGUUUAUGUUGAUAAAAGAUUGCCUCGGUUCCUUCCAAAGUCAAUGAUUGCAUGCUGUGGCAUCUCAUUAUAUUAUUUGCUCGAACAAAACAUUCAUAUAAGGAUCUUACAUUUUGUUGAGGAUGCGGAAUUUGGUUUGUUACCUGAGGACAUUGGUGUUCCGCUUCCAUUCAUAAAGUAAAAAAUCAGGUUGGUAGAUAUGAGCUCUUGCUGAUUUGAAUUCAGGAUAAGCGGUUUCUGGGUUUCAAAUUACUUAUCUCAACAAGGGUAUGGAGGUACCACACAAAUCGGUAUCUUGACAUUCUGUUACAUAUAACUACUGUAACUUUGAAACAAUUCCACUUUGCAUUUCCGUAUGAUUUAUCCUGUCUGAACAGACAGAUCCAUGGCGCCAAUGGCCAUGUAUAAAAAUACAGAUGUAUUACAAUUUAGAAUCUCAUUAUCUCUUUCUCCAA